UUUUUGUCUACGGCACGCGGAAUGCGGUCGGUUUCGUGCACUGACGACUCCAUCGUGUUGGGUCGCUCGGGCCACUCCGAGGACGAGAGU
rnacentral:tRNA from 1 species